rnacentral:rRNA from 1 species
AACGAACGCUGGCGGCAUGCCUAACACAUGCCAGUCGAACGAGACCUUCGGGUCUAGUGGCGCACGGGUGCGUAACGCGUGGGAACCUGCCCUUAGGUUCGGAAUAACUCCCCGAAAGGGGUGCUAAUACCGGAUAAUGUCUUCGGACCAAAGAUUUAUCGCCUUUGGAUGGGCCCGCGUUGGAUUAGCUAGUUGGUAGGGUAAAAGCCUACCAAGGCGACGAUCCAUAGCUGGUCUGAGAGGAUGAUCAGCCACACUGGGACUGAGACACGGCCCAGACUCCUACGGGAGGCAGCAGUGGGGAAUAUUGGACAAUGGGCGAAAGCCUGAUCCAGCAAUGCCGCGUGAGUGAUGAAGGCCUGAGGGUUGUAAAGCUCUUUUACCCGGGAUGAUAAUGACAGUACCGGGAGAAUAAGCUCCGGCUAACUCCG